UACAGAGGGGGCAAGCGUUGUUCGGAAUUACUGGGCGUAAAGGGCGCGUAGGCGGCCCGCUAAGUCGAACGUGAAAUCCCCAGGCUCAACCUGGGAACUGCGUCCGAUACUGGCAGGCUUGAAUCCGGGAGAGGGAUGUGGAAUUCCAGGUGUAGCGGUGAAAUGCGUAGAGAUCGGGAGGAAGGCCGGUGGCGAAGGCGGCGCUCUGGAACGGCCCUGACACUGAGGCUCGGAAAGCGUGGGGAGCAAACAGG
rnacentral:rRNA from 1 species